CGAUGUGAGCAUUGGGUGAUCUUCACUCUCCAUAUCAGAGUGACAUAACAGCUGAUGAACAACAACAACAACAACCUAAGCGUCACCAGAUUCAAGAGCUAUAGUUACCAUUGGAACCUGAGGCUCUUGCAAUAGUUGUAUCACUUAACGAGAAACCUAAGCGUGCAGAGGUUGCACAGCGCAAAACAAGGAGACCCUGAGAUGAUCUCAGUCGUCUAGAAGAGAUGGCGUCAGGAAAGCCUCAUGUUCUUCCUAAAAAGCAACCUUUCUAAUGGAGAGAACUUUAUAUGUUGGAGUCAAUGAACGUCACUCACUCGCUAUUCACGCUUUGAUUUUAUAUAGUUACUUUUAGUCAUUUUCAUUCUGUUUCUAGCUUUAAACGUGUUGGUAAUGUGAUAUAUAUUCCUCAUCUUCUAUUGAUUCAAGGGGAAAUAUGCCUUGGAUACUUAAUCCUCAGCUAGCUCGAUUGUUGUAGUUUAUCUUUAUACUGCAUGCUGGACAUGAAAUCAACUACUCUACCUAUCUAUGUACUCAUCAUUAGGUGUAUUUUUUUCACGAAUAAGUAUAUUGUCCACUAAAAUUGGGGUGAGUAUUUGAAUUUUUUUUUCAUCACUUAGUUUCUUAGAAAGUAGUGUUUGCUCUUUAGGAAAAUAUCAUUUGUGUAAGCCUAUUGUGUUCAGGGCAUAUCAACCAAGUUUCUUACGGUGAAGAGCAUUAACAGAAGAGGGUUCAUAACAACUAUCAUAACACCUCCGCGCCAAGCCAAAGCAUUUUGUGUGAUCUCAAAGGUAGAAUGAUUGAAACUGAGAUUGCAGCUUGAGAAAAACAGCAGAAAGAGAUUGAAUCAACUAAGGAAUUAAUUAGGCUUGGCGCGGGUGAAAACUUUGGUUGUGUUCAACAACUGCCGAAAAGAUUAGGUGGUUGAAAUGCUUCAAUGAUUUCCUAAGCUACAACAGCUCCAGUAACAUGAUUAUAUGAUUCUAGCUCACGUUUCUUCCUGCGGAAGAGGGGGAAUCUUGCUAGACAAUAUCCUCUUACCCAGACGUGAUGAGCUGCUUCCAUUUCAAGAAGAUAUCAAUGGCGGACUAAAGAACAAGUGUUGGUGUCUGAAAUAACAGAGAGAAAGUACUUGCAGAAAAAGUAAGCAUAUUAGGUAAUAGACAGUUGAUGAGAAAGAAAAAAAGUGGGAAGGUUGAGUCGGGGAUCAAUGGCAAAGACACUACAGAUGAAGAAGAAGAAGCGGAGAAGACUGAUAUUACCCUAGACGUAAUUUCCCGGUUGACAAUGAUGACAUGCAGUUUUAGUUUUCUAUCACCUCUUUGUAUUGAUAUAAAUUAGUUUCUUUCGUCUGUAAGGCAAAAGAGUUCCAUAGUUUAGUGUCCUAAUAAUAUCUUCCAUUAAUCUAA